CGCAAAGCAUACACGUUGCUCCGUCAAUGAAUUCUGAUCGCGCGAAGUCCUGUACCGACGGUCGGUAAAAAGUUCCUCUUGCAGAAGUUUGUAAAGCGAGAACACGUUCACCUAGUUGCAAUUAUGUACUGGGUUUAAUUCUGUUCUUGACACUCUGUGUCGUUUGAUCGCAAGCCGUUUUCACAUCCACGGCUAGCCGUCGUGCCAAACGUGGUACACGCAUGUUUAUUUGCAUCCGUGGAUAUUAAGAGUGCAUUACCCGAGUUUCGGCACUCUGUAAACGGGGACUAUUUCGCAGACAGCGAGGACCAAAGUUUCCGACUUAAAAGAAGUUUGGACAACGAUUAGCUUCUGAUUAAAGCAAGAAGAUCGAUAUUGUAAAGGACAAGGAAUUUGAAGCAAACUAGUGUCAAUCAAAGAAACUGUAUUAAAUUACGUUAUGCUAACGCAACGAAUAUAAUUUGCAUAUUACUCGCAAGUACAUGCAAAUCCAAGGAAUUACUCGGCAUCUAUGUUUUACCUGGAAAAGAGUGCGCCACCGUAUACGUAACUGGGAAUAAACGUGGUUAUUAUUAGAAGAAAUUGUAUGCGGAUAUAACUAAUAAUGACGUGUAAUAGUAUUUUCGUCUCAUGGUGGAAACUGAAGGCUUGGAAAUUCGGUAGCCGCAUACAUAAGCGGCAGAAGCACGAUUAAACUUUAAAAUGCAAUUAUCUCAAAAUAACUGUGCUCGGCAGUUAGCAAGUCUGCGCUCAGUAGGGCAACGUAACCCUUAUAAUUGCUCUGAAUUAAUACAUCAAACAGCUAUGUUAUCUAACAUGCACUGUACUAUGGUACUAACUUGUUGUUUAUUUUACGAUUCGUUUAUGGAUGGCGUAAAAAACGACUCAUUUAGGUGAGAUGUUUCAUGUACGAAUGAGAAUAAGGAAAGGCGUUUUAGAGCGAUCGAGCAAGAUUGUCAAAAGGAUUAACGAUGCUUCAGACGAGCGUUGCAAAAUUGGCAAAUGGUUAUUCGAAUUGUUGUAAUAAACCACAAUACGAUGCCAGCCAGAACCGGACGUAAAUCGAACAAGGUCGUUGCGCGCCUAUUGAAUCCAGGCUUUAUGCGUUUUGACAUUGAGCUUGCAAUCUGAAAACGACGUCGUUUUCGUUCUUAACCUUAUAGCAGAUUUAAUGCACGAGAAAAUGAACGGUGACGAAUGUUUACGCUUCUUCGUGGACGAGUUAACAAUAUCUCUUCUCGGCUCCCAACCGGACGUAUAAAUUUAUUAAUUCUAUCAAAUCUGUGAAGAUUAUUUUUUCCAUGCUCCACCGUCGAGCCAUUAAAAAAAAAAAAAAAAAAGAGAAAAGAAAGAAAAAAAUUUAUACGUGAAAAGAGUAUAUCGUAGUCAAACGACUGAAAGGUUUUUAGUAGUACAUAUACGCAUUCUGUGGCAAAGCGAUUCGAACGUUGGCAUAGCUGAUCAGACAAGAAUGAAGUUGGUUAAACGUGAAAAUAAAGUGCUCUCUGGAAGCUUUACGCCAAGCACGUACACGCAAGCUGCAAUUUGCAUGCUUUUAUGCGGUGCGAAGUUUACAACAAGCGCGUACACGUGCCACCGCCGGAAAAGUUUCCUGUUUUUCUUACGAACUGCUCGUUCGAGGGGAUAUCCGAAUGGAUAAAUUACGUCGUCGCUCUCGGCUGCCUUGCGACGCGUGCCGCGCGUCUAGGGGAAAAAAAGUUCCCCACUCGAGAGUUUUUUUUUCCUAACCUUGUCACCGAUACUAUAGGAAGUAAGCUUAUUAAAUCACCCACAGCCGGCAUAAUUAAAUAAAUGAAUAUGAUGAUUUGAA